UUCUUCUCUUUUCUCGUCGCGAUCGUUGCUGAUUGUAUAUUCAUGUUGCGCGCGGCUGCUGCUGCCGUCGGCUGGUGGCGCGGCGGCUGCUACUCGUCGGACCUCCUCUACCUCCUCUCGAGAAGUGCUGCCGCCGCCGUCUGCUAGGCGACGUAAACAAGAACCGCUGCUGCAGCACGGCCGGCAGGCACCCGUCCGUGCGCCUGCGGUCGACUCUUUCCGAACGCGUCGGACACGGAUACACUGGAACCUUAUGCGUGCGUGGAAUAAUUUCCUUGCGGAUAUACUGCGACACAGUGAGUGUGAAACGAACUUUCUGACCAUUGGAUUUCGCUAGUGCGACGACAGAACGACCGCGCCACAGUGCUUCUCGGCUCUUACGUUCGUCUUCUGCAUUGUUGUAGCGUUGCGGAAAGUGCAUCAGCCUUGAGACCGCUGGAAUUGUGUAAAGUGCUUCUUCGACGUUUUUGUGCACGGAUACUGGCCAGGCUACAUCGUCUUUUUGGAAGCAGUUCGCGUUGCAGCAUUGCCGCAAACAAGUAGGUUGUGGCAGCAGCCGACCGGAGGCGCGCGGGCGGAGGGGGCUGCGCGCGCCCGACGGAAGAGCCGCGACUGCAGCGCUAUCCCCGGAGGUGGCGGCGGCGCGGGCAAGCAGCCUUCAACGCAGCAGACGGACGGCGAUGAGCGUGGCGGUGGUGUGUGUGAGGGCUGCUGCUGCUGCCGCCGCUGCGCGGCCCGAACUCCCGGCGCUGGAUGCGGGCUCUCCAUGACCGCCGCGGCGGCGCCGGAGGUGCAGCGGCCAUGGCCUCGUCGACGACGACCACCACCGCACAGACGUCGGCGCCCCCGGCCAGCGGGGGCGGCGGCGGCGGUUGCACCCCGCACCUGAAGCGAGUGCUCAAGAGCUACCAGGCGUCGGCCGUGUCGAGCCUGCAGGGUCCGCCCGCGCUCAUGGCGGCCUCGGCCGCCGCCGACCCGGGCGGCCUCGCCGACGAAGACGAGCCGCUCGAGGCGCCCGCUCUGCCGGCGAUCCAACAACCGCCGCUGCUCACGCCGCCCGACCAGGCGCAGGGCAGCGAGCGCGACGAGACGCAGCUCGAGUGGAACACCAUCUCCUGCUUCACCGUGGGCGGCGAGCAGCGGCUGUGCCUGCCGCAGAUCCUCAACACGGUGCUCACGGACCUGUCGCUGCCUCAGAUCAACAGCGUGUGCGACGAACUGCACAUCUUCUGCCUGCGAUGCAACCCCGAGCAGCUGGACGUGCUCAAGCGGGCCGGCGUGAUCCCGACGAGUGCGCCCAGCUGCGGCCUCAUCACCAAGUCGGACGCCGAGCGACUGUGCGCGGCGCUGCUUCACGCCGGUACGCCGGCGCCCGCGGAUUUGAACAACCCGGGACCCAUGGUGGUGGUGCCGGUGUACCACGAGUGCUUCGGCGGCGCCUCCGGUGUGCUCUGGCUGGAGGCGGCCAUGGUGCGGUGCCGCGAGUGCGGCCUGCUCUACUCGCCGCGCCGCUUUGUGUGCCACGGCCACGGGUCGCGCGAGAGGCGCACCUGCCACUGGGGCUUCGACUCCGGUCGCUGGCGGAACUACCUUCUCCUGGAUGACCGCGAGCCGCUCGAGGACGCCGACGCCAUGCGCGCGCUGCUGCGACAGUUCAAGGACAAGUUCCCCGACGCCGCCAAGCGGAAACAGAGCCCACUGCAUGUGGACGUAGUGAGCAAGAAAAAAAUGCGUGCUUCCCUGACCGAUGUCGAGGGUGGCGGCUUCGUGACAACUGCUGGCCCGGACUCAGCCUACUGGUACCACCAGCACAGCCAGUGGGCUAGGAACUCGGCCUUCAAGCCGUGGAGCCCCGUGCUGCUGAAGGAGCGGCCGGUGGUGGGCAAGGUGCCCCUCGGGGAGCAACUGCCCACCGCUCUCCCCUCUGCAGCCCUGCCCAUUUACCUCAAGCAUAACUUGACGUACCCCGUGGAAGCCUACCUUCCAGCGGAUGUUGCAGAAUUGCAGAAGCUAGGGCCACCAGUGCUGAAGGCAGAUCCUGACAGGCUUGACACAUCCGUGACGCUACCAGUUCUGAAAAAGGCCACUCAUGUUGCGAUGGAUGUGGUCCCCAAGAAAGAGCAUGUGCCGACUGCCUGCAGCAGGUCGUCGGAGUUGGCAUUGGGAGGCACGCCACCUGCUGGGAAGCUUGUCAACGGAAGGCUGUCUGCUGACACGGAAGAGACAAUGUCCAAUAGCAGCCUCAGCACACUGUCAGGAGUGGAAGAUGUUGGCCUGGCAGAGGAUGGCAAGGAAGGGGCUCCCCUGAUUGUGCCUGAGCUACAGGGCCUCUGGGUGGCCUUCGACCGGCACUCGCUGGGUGAGCGUGCCCGACAGGACAUCAUGCAUGAGGUCAGCCUUCUGCUGUCCUCGUGCCAGCAGCGGACACUUCCUUGCGAGCUACAAGCUGCUGCUGCAACAGCGCCAGGAGGCAGAGCCCAUGUCUUGCAAGCUGGGCUCCAUGCCCAAGGGCGGUGACAUGCCAUCCCCCCGUAUGCCACCGCCGCCAACGAGUGCACCUGCAUCUCCACCUGGCACGCAGCCGCAGCCACCACCAGCGGCCACCUCCCCUGAAGUGUCGGUGCACGGCUCCCCGGUGAACUUGUGCGAGGCCAAGGAGCCUGCGGCCCGCAGUCCCCAGACUCCCCCCAAACCACCAGUGGAACAACACAAGAUGCUCCUUGCCGCCUGAAGUGGCGGUGCCGCAGAAGCAUCGCAUCGCACAUUGCAGUGCGCCUCGCAUCAUCGACGCCCUGCGACCCUUCCACCGUUUCUUUCUGCACCGUUGCCAUUGACUUGGAAGGCCGUGUGUGUGUUUGGCUUUCCAUUCUCGGGGCCUGAGAAAUGUGUUAGCAUUACGAGGUGUGACCCCAUUAAGGGAGGGGGGAGCCUGGCAUGUGCCACACUAGUUUUGCUCAGCCAUAGCCACCUUUGCAUCUGUUCCCGCUAAAUGACAUUGUCAGCCAGAGGCAAACCUUACGUCAUUCACUCGAUUUUGCUGCAAGGGCAUCUGCUCAAGCUAGCUUCCACACGGUAUGCUUGUUGUCUCUUGUCCUCCGAUAAAACCUGGCUGCACAAUGUCAGACGGAAAAACAAACAAAAAAUAGCCCAAGUAUGUGCAACCUGUGUGUUUGCAUUCUACUGUUCAGCACAACAGUUGGCAAAGCACUAUCGGUGCUUUUUUGACUGUGCUCGCGACACCCCGAGAGACAGAGGCUGGCUUGUGUGAAUGCCUUGGUGCUUCUGGCUUUGGUGAACGGCCAGUCCAGUGCUGUCUGGAAGGACCGAAGGAGUUCAGGCUAUGCUUCUUCUGUCCAGUCCUUCAAGUUCAAUGAGCCUGGUACACAUUGCCUGCCACUCAAGACUGUGCUCCUCUUCUCAGUUAAAAUGUGGAACGAGCCUGGAAGCGCAGGCUCAGUGGUUUUCACACUUAACGUGUAGCAGACAGCAAAGGUGAAUGGGCUCUAUAAGAUGCUUUCUCUGUGCUGAACAACAGUCACAGCACAUUUGCUGUAGCUAAAAAAUGAGGGUUGCUACUACGUAGUCAACUGACUACUGGCAAACAUUGGAACAGGUACAUUCGUUCCCCUCCUCCCCGUAUAUCCUCAGCCUCCUCUUGAAGCAACUGUCACGGCUGCAAAUCAGAAACCGCAAAUCAUCCUUAUUUCUAGGCUUGAUGGCAGUGCAGGCUCUUUGCACUUAUAGACGUGAAGCAAGCACAAGUUGUAGGCAUGGCUGAUGCUCGCUUUGAUCAAAAAGGCACAACCAUUGACGUCACGUGCCAAGUUGUACCUGGCCCUUGUUGAGCGGGAAGUUUUCUUCUAAAAGCCAAGCCAAGCCAGCUUUUCCUGGGGCUCACCUCGUUUGUGUUAGUGCGGGUAGCUGGUGCGGGAAGAAAUGUCAAAUGCAAUACUUUUUUCCGCCGGGACUGCGACAAGCAUGCACGGUGAUUAUGGCGACCGGCGUGAUGCCGCGUCGCGAGGACAGUCAGUACCACUGCAAGAAAUCGCCGAUGUUCGUCCGUCGAGGUCUUUUACCGUCUUUCCUCUUUCAAUGUGUCCCUGUUAUUGCUGUUGUUGUUACGUUUUCUUUCUUCUUUUUCGCACUGCUAUUUGUGAAAAUGGAAGACAAACAGCUGUGUGUUGUUGUCAGCACAGGUGCCCCUCUUUUUGUUGUUUCGUGUCACUCACCUCGUAGUGUUCAUUAUUUCUUACUUUUAUAGUGUCGGCCUGCCUGUUUCCUUUCUUUUUUUUGGGGGGGGGGGGGGGGGGCAUGUUUAAUUCUAGACUUGAGAAGUUUUAAUGUUUGUUGUUUUGUUUGUUAUUGUUGUGUGAGUGAAUAGGAGCCACUGUGACAAGUGGGGAGUAUUCUUUAUGAUCUGGUGUGCGAGACGAGCUUGCUUUAGGUGGCGCAACCUGAAACUGUCGUGCAACAUGCAGCCUCGACGCUACAGUUAUAGACGCAAGUUGUGUGUACAAAGCGUCGAGUGAGAGAGCGCAAUGUUUUAGCGUGACCGGCUCUCCCCCUGCAUUCGUCUUAUGGGUGUGGGGGAGUAAGCGGCGGUUCGGUAUAUCCCGUAGACGCAGCGAAAGCGUUGCUCCGCAGUUACAGUUUGCGUUUCCCAGUGUGUGCGCUUUUUCUGGCUGUUUUUCUGAACGGUUGGUAUUUCCGUUGCCCUGUUCGGCGUACAUGUGUGUAUGUUUGUGCGCGCGCGUUUUCAUCCAUUGUUGCCCCUUUUCGGCUGUUGUGUGGCGGCAGAUGGAAACACAACUUCCGUGUGGAAAGCCUUGUUCACUCAUAGCUCACUUGUCGUCAUUCCCGUUGCCCGUUUCGCAGAAUUUCACAGAAUCGCUUGUGUGGGGGUGCGUGCAUUCGGGCCUGUUAUGAGAGGUAGGCCCGUGUGCCGAUUUUAGGCGGGAAGUUGGUUUCGAGGCCAUCUAACUUGCAAUUAAUGGCCUUGAAGAGAGUUGGAAGUGUACUCUGCAACAUCAAAUUUGCAGUGGAACAAAACUGGAUGCAGUAGGAAUCUUGGCAAUGUAAAGCCUUGCGUAAUAGAAACAGCAUCAUCCAAAAUGCAUGUCAUCAGAAACAAACGAAAUUGGCAUGACGAAGCAGCAGAUUUGCAUUCAUUCAAAGUGAUUUAAAGCUGAUUACAGCCAAGUUAUUUUUCUGGACACCGGUACAAACUGCAGAAAUGUCAGAGUAAUCGGGCAGUUUAAGGACCUCGCUACAGCAGCAACAGACCUAAAUGGUUACGUGGCGUCGUUAAUCAUGUAACUGCUGGUAUAGUGACGACUCAUGGAUCCGUAUCAACCAGAACGAUGCAGAAGAGCAUCUGAUGACUCGAAACUCUGAACAUUCUGCACAAUGCGCUUUAGCUGGAGAACUUGCAUAUUCAUAUAAACCGUGAUCAUACACUCAAGAUUCCACUGUAUCUCGGCAUUUUUCGGGCACCUGUCAGAUGCAUUUCAUAUUUUGGCGCAUGUAGCAGAAAGCUUUCAUGCUUUGUCACUUGGCCUGCAAGUGACCAUUCGGCAUCCCCACAUCGCUUAGUGCAGUAUGAGGAACAUUUUGUUGAAUGAGCAUUCAGGGACUCUAGAAAAGACAGUUUCCGUGGCUUUUCUUUUUUUUUUCUUGCUUUUUCAUGAGAUAUAUUUGUGCUUUUUAUGUGAAUUCAUUGACCUUAGUGCAAAAAGGCAGGUGUCAUUCACUGCUCACCUGGUCGCUGCAGCUCAUUUCAUAAUGGCGUGCCUACAGUGAGAGUUAUUACUGUCUGUGGCAGUAAAAUGUUCAUAGUGCAGUCCACCUAGAACGAUACCAGUCGUAACAAUUAUCACUUGUAGCAGUGACCGUUGUCUGCUACAUAACACUCUGAAGGUGCGCAAAAUCAGCUCGGACGUAAUCACAUGCAGUUAUGGUUGCAUUUUAACACGUUUUCCCAUCAUCGUUGUAAGUGGACUGCACAUAAUUUACUUCUGCAAAUGUUACAAAAGAUCCUAGUGUUCAUUCAUCUGAGAACAUAAUUCCUCACUUUUUUUUUUUUCUCUGCACAAUGAACGUUGCUGUUGAACGCACAUGGUCUGUGCACUCUGCGCAGGUUGCUGCAAUGUUCCUUGCACAAGCACAUUCGUUUCUUUAGCACAUGCAGCAUCCAUUGUAUGCACUACACAACUGCAGCAGAACCGAACACGCAAAUGUUUGUCGCUGCAGAUAGGUGAGGGCAUCUCAUUCGUCACAACUGGCACCGCUUUAAUGGGAAGCCAGGACGCCAAAGGGAAACGCUAUAGAUUGGGCUGGACCACUGCAUUCGCCUUUCGGGAGUAUGUCUCAGCGUUAACGUGGUUCAAGAAGCAUUAUUGGCAGACAAGUAGCGAUUGAAGGCUGCCGAGCUUCCAUUUUGCUAGUGCCCAAACUACAACACUGCUGACACUGUUUUGCGACUGUUGAGACAUUGCAAUCUUUUUUUCUUUUUUUCCGAUACUAGGACUUUUUUUUUUUAAUGCACAAAGCGUACAAAUGUUUCGAGCCUAAUUUCUUUUUUUUUUUUCAAUUGUUCAGUUGGAUAAUCAUUACACUCACAACUGCAAAAUAGAACAGAAAAAAACAAAAACAUUGUUAGAUUUCUGCGUAUAAACUGCACAGAUAACCCCAGGAGAUGAAAAAAUUCUUCUUUCGAUGAGAUGACAAACAGAUACUGUUUAUUUGAAUCUUAAUUGUAACCGUAGCAUGGCAUGUUGGUGCUUUUACGACUUCUAGAUGUUUUUCAAAUCAGGCUUUAGAAAUCCAUAAGGUGAUUCUAUUCCCCGACAGUCACAAAUGUUAACCAUUGCAAAGCUGUCUUGUUGUUAUCCAUCUAAUAGCCACGUACCACCUUUUUUGCACGAAAUCUCUAAAAGAAGAAAAAAAGAGAGGAAAAACUCACAAGCACAAGUCGAUGCCGCGCUCAGCCGGCUAACUUGCGUCACUCAUUCAUUUCUGCAGCUUGCAGCAUCACAAAGAGCAGCUUUGGGAAUUCGAGGGUAGCUUUGCUGCUACUCGUCUCUUGCGCUCACAUAAUUUUUCUGGCAUGCGAGGUUUAUCUGCUACCUGUCUGCCAUUUGACAAGCGCCACCUAGCAGAUAAACCUGUCCCAGUUUUCCUUUGGUGUCCUUCCGAUUCUUGCACGUUUCUGGCAGUUACAGUACCUCAAUUUCUCCGCGGUGCUUCUAGGCACCUGGUCAAGUCGCACUUGUCGUUGUUGAUGUUUCUUUUUUUUUUCUCUCUCUCUCUUUUCGUGCGUGUGUAUGCGUGUUCAAAGUACUACUCGAAGCGGGUUUUCAAAUGUGUGCGUCCUAGUCAUGAUGUCCCCACCUUUACAUUAUCCUGCACAAAAAAAAAAAGAAAAGAUAGAAAAACAAGUGUCAGGUUGACACUCGUCGUACAAACUAAAUGAGAGGGAAAAAUGAAAGCGACAAAGAUCAGUUGCGAGAUAUUUGGCGCCUUGUUUGCGCUCCCUACAUGUGGAGAUGCUGUUUGUCAAUGGCACAAAGCGACACGAUGUGAAAGAUUUAAAAAAAAAGAAGAAGAAAAAAAAAAAGAUUCCCGAGAUGGCACAUGCACGGUUCUCGAAAGCUGGAUUCAUGGUGUCGGUCGCCUCUCGCAGUACAAAAAAUCCGUGCCAAGAAAGAGACACUUCUCGUUCUUUCCGCCGCGCCCCGAGCAGUCAGCUCCCUUUGUAAAAAAUUUGGCUCGGCUCUCCAUCGCCCAUCUCUCACCUUUCGCAUCCUUCAUUGUUUUCUUUGUUUCGCGUCUCAUGACUGCACUGUGUCCUCGUCCUUCGCCAAUGAAGCCGUUGUUUCUCAGCCAGCUUCAUCCCUCUUACGUCUCUCCCCCCCUGCCCCCUCUCCUUUCCACUUGUUUGAGUAAUAUAAGCGUAACCCUAGUGCCAAGAUACCAGUCAUCAUCCUGUCCUCAUUGUUCAUGGUGUCAUCUCGCUGUAUUUAUUUUUAGCUUGGAUCAUGUCAUCUCCUGCGACUCGUCACUUUUGCCGUCGUAAAACAGAAGCCUAUGGCGGGGAUUUGCCAAGGCCAACCAGUCGCGUCAUCACCACGACAGGUUGUUUGAUGUUGUAAAAUUGUGGCCCCUGUACAUAGACAGUUGCUGGUUCCCAUAUUCCAAUUGCUCUCAACUCCCCACUUUCUUUCUGUCAGUCGUUUGUCCAGUUUGAUGCCCCGUGUCUUUUCAUCACGUUCCAUGCGUUACUGCCGUUCGGCUACACCACCUUUUUCACAUCAUCCUGCAUCGGACCAUUGUCACAUGCAUAACUUUCUCAAGCAUUAUUUUUGGUCGUUUAAAUCAUCCAUACAGAAGGAUUGGCUUUUUCACCUGUUAACACCAUUUUCAGCAACUGUACGUUGGACCCAAGUGUUGGAGAAAUGCUGGUGCAGUACUUCACAAGUGAAUGCGUACGCAGUAGGCUGGUGUUAUCGUGAAAUCAAGCCUUGGUGGCCUUUACUGAAUUAGAGAGCUGCGAUUCUGGGCAGGAUGUUUAGCAUGUGGUAGGAAGGAAAAAAAAAAGAAAAAGAUAGCGCUGUGUUUGCAGCCAAUAGAAAGCAGAAGAGACAACAUUUGGCCCAUUUGAUUUGCCCUGAACUUGAUGAAUUGGUUCACGCCAGUUCAGUGCUACUUCCUGCGUGUGCAUACCACCAUGUUGAACUAACGAAACGGAGAGCCAAGUGUAGCACCUCCUGAACUAGUUUACAACAUGCAGGCGAAUCGAACGAACCUAACCUGCUCGUCGAUUUAGCCAAAGCAGUUGGGUGUUGUAACAGCUUGAUGUGAGUGCUGCGCAUCAGAUUCACUAGGAUUGGCCGUCGCAUUACAUUCCUUGCUGUCACACAGCGUUCUUGUGCUGUGCGAGAAUUGGGUCCGUAAUCUUUUGAAGGUAACUACAAAUUCAUACGGGAUACCAAGGCUCACGAUAUUGCAGGGAGCCACCUUGGUGCCCGGUUGCAUAAUGCUUCACAUGGUUAUAUUCGAAGACAUUGUUGCAUAAUGAAAAGCAUCUGUCCAGCAAGAAUGUUGUACACCGCCCAAGAAUUGCAGCUCCCAAUUCACAGGCAUGUGGCCAUUUUGUAAAUUUUUCUUACUCAGGAAUGAUCUUAAUGUUCAAAUGAUUUUUAAAUUUUUUUUUUUUUGUCAAGGCUCACAAGCAAGCAGUAGCAUCAAGUUUUGACUGGACCUUUUGCUUUGGAAAAAGUAUGUGACUGCACCAAGAAUGAACCUUGUCUGUCAAGGUAGUGACUGACUUUGUUGAUGAAUAUGUUACAGCUGUCAGCUGGACGGCAUAUGUGGAAGACAUACCACCUCAUACGAGUUGUACAUUAGGAACACUGUUCCUGGGAUAUUGGCCUGAUGCACUGCACAAUUGCAUUGUCAUAGUUUUUUCGCAGCAGGUUCAUUGUCAUAACGCAUUUCUAGCCUCCAACUGUGCUUGGUUGUUGUUGCAUUGAUGGAAGGGGUCUCGUGCGCACGCAUGUGUCACGAUAAAGCCCGCAGCCGCUGAUUACACAAAAGGGAGUGUUUAGCGUAGCUUGUUAGGUGCACAGAAGCAAUUCACUGGUGUUUUUGGCGUGUGGGGGGUUGAGGGGGUUCUUGGCCUAGCAUUGCAAAGCGCUGCAGUUUAUAUGCAAGGAAGGCACCGGUGUGGAAGAAAGGAGGACAGUGCAAACGUGGCAUCUCAAAGCGUGAGAGAGGCUCUCGUGUGCCAUCGUCGAAGCAGUAGCCUUAUGCAGUGAAAGUUCUGCUCAUGUGCUUAGAAGUCCUCUGUGUGCACGUUUUUUGUCCCAGACUUCUUGGCGCUUGCGUAAUUCAGCAUUGCCGGGAUUAUGUCUAGCUCGAGCGCGCUGUCGACUUGUCUCAAAGAAAGAUGCAAGCCACUGUCUGCCUGCUCGCUUGGCCUGUGAGGAAACAGAAUAGCUGGAGCCAGCACUGAGAAGGUGAAAGCAAACUGUCUCGCAGUGGUAGAAGGCAGUGCACAGGGACAAACAACAGAAAAAAGCAGAACUCUGCUUGUUCUGCUUUUUCAAUUUUUUUUUUUUUUUUACUGUUUCUGCACAGUUUCUUUUCUCUAGCAGUUGUCCCGUCUCCAAGUUCAAGCUUGUCGUUUCUUGCUGUGUUAGUUGCGAUGCAAGUGUUGUUACAUCAAAAAUGAAAGAGAGCGAGUUUGAUGGCACCGCACGUGGCAUGUUGUGUGUUACGGUGCCAUCCUGGUGGUGAAAGGAGGAGGCCAAACGGCAGGCAAGGGAAAAGUGUGUAUGUGUGUGUGCGUGUUUAGAAGGUUUCGAGAGUGUUGCACAGGGUUUUUUCCAUUUGUCUACUACUGCCCCGCGCAGAUUGUGGUCCAGUUAUCUAUGCUUGAUGCUGCGAGUGGUAGGCGAUGAGCAAGUUUUUUCCACGUGUUGCAAGGUUUGUGCACAGCCUGUGCUCAGGCGGAGAGAAAGGGAAGGGGGCAGUGGUGAACGGAGCAAGCAUCGCUCCUGCACACAAAACUGUGAUCAGUGCAGGCAGGAUUGUGAUACUUUGUGGACGAGAAGAGAAGCGUAGUACCCGUGAAAGGAUGGAGAGGGAGAACGAGUUGCAACGAUGGCCUGGCUUGCGAAACCAGCUAUAGAUGCAGACGGCCGUGUACACAGAAUGCAUGCAGCCAUGAAGCAUGCUGCUUCCAUCUAGAGCUUUCUCAUAUUUAACAUUGAAUUUGUCGCUGUACUGCUGGGGUCACUGCUCCAGCAGCAAGAGUUGGCUGCAGUUUCUGGCCUGCUGCGGUUGGCUUCUAGCCUCCCCCAAAAGUUAGCUUUUUUUUGUUGUUGUUGUUCUGGUCUCUCUCGACAGAUUCAGAGAAGGCAGUGAGAUGCAGCAGCUUGCUUCCUAGCUGACAAACUGUCCCACAGGCCAUUUCGCCACCACGGAUGGCGAGAGAAAGUUGACGCACCUGAAUGGUGUCAGUGUGACACCUGUCAGCUCCCUCCCGCGCUGUGGCAAUGCGAGGUAAACCAAAGGAGCCAACCGGUUCCCGCAGCCAGUGCCAUAGGUCCUGCAGAGUCGGACGUUGUGUGGCCUUUUUUUCUCGUUUUCCUUUUAAUCCAAGAGUUGAGCAGGGUUGUGGGUGUUUGUACACGAAAGAAAAGAAAGGCCAGAGUGGUGCUAUAGCGACAGCCGUCUUCCUCACGAGGUGGUGGCAUGCUUUGCUAGAUUGUGUUGUCUGUUUGCGGGAGUGAGAAUGGCCUGAAGGGGGGUUGGGGGGAAGUGGGCACUGUGGUGUAAGAGAGACGAGUGUCAGCUUUGCUUGUGAGAGAAGGCACAGAACCUAAGUCACUAGCACCCCCGUAACGUGCACGAGGGUGGUGAUAUACUCAACGAAUUACAACUAUCAGUCCUUCUCAUGCGCCCUUAUUUCAUUGUCCGUUUUUACAGUUGGCGUGUUGUUGGUUCAAUGCUUGGGGCUGGAGGGCUGGUAAAAGUGUUCCCGCGUGUUGCUGUUCACGUGAGGCAGAGAGCGUUCAUUCAUGACUGUUUCCGUCAUUUUUCUUUUUUCCCCAAUUUUUUUUUUUACCUGGAUGACCCCUUUGUGCACUGUCUUUCCCCCCUCUACCGAGAAGUGGGGAGGGAGGAAGGUGGCUUGAAGAGGGUGCAUUGUCGUGUGUUCUCGCGACUUGAAAGGCUUUGUACAUUUGCUCACGGCUGUAGAAUAUUGUAAAUAUAUGUACAAGUCAUUUGGAGGGUUUCAAAGAGAUAGUAAAGGGUUUGUAUCUCAGAACCGAGAA